GACGAACGCUGGCGGCGUGCCUAAUACAUGCAAGUUGAGCGAUGAAGAUUGGUGCUUGCACCAAUUUGAAGAGCAGCGCACGGGUGAGUAACGCGUGGGGAAUCUGCCUUUGAGCGGGGGACAACAUUUGGAAACGAAUGCUAAUACCGCAUAACAACUUUAAACAUAAGUUUUAAGUUUGAAAGAUGCAAUUGCAUCACUCAAAGAUGAUCCCGCGUUGUAUUAGCUAGUUGGUGAGGUAAAGGCUCACCAAGGCGAUGAUACAUAGCCGACCUGAGAGGUUGGUCAGCCAGAUUGGGACGGAGACAGGGCACAAACGCAUACGGGGGGGAGCAGUAGGGAAUCUUCGGCAAUGGACGAAAGUCUGACCGAGCAACGCGGCGUGAGUGAAGAAGGUUUUCGGAUCGUAAAACUCGGUUGGUAGAGAAGAAAGUUGGUGAGAGUGGAAAGAUCAUCAAGUGACGGUAACUACCCAGAAAGGGACGGCUAACUACGUG
rnacentral:rRNA from 1 species